rnacentral:misc_RNA from 1 species
GGGWGAAGUCGUAACAAGGUAGCCGUAGGGGAACCUGCGGCUGGAUCACCUCCUUAAUCGAAGAUCCCGGCUUCUUCAUAAGCUCCCACACGAAUUGCUUGAUUCACUGGUUAGACGAUUGGGUCUGUAGCUCAGUUGGUUAGAGCGCACCCCUGAUAAGGGUGAGGUCGGCAGUUCGAAUCUGCCCAGACCCACCAAUUGUUGGUGUGCUGCGUGAUCCGAUACGGGGCCAUAGCUCAGCUGGGAGAGCGCCUGCUUUGCACGCAGGAGGUCAGGAGUUCGAUCCUCCUUGGCUCCACCAUCCAAACAAUCGUCGAAAGCUCAGAAAUGAAUGUUCGUGAAUGAACAUUGAUUUCUGGUCUUUGCACCAGAACUGUUCUUUAAAAAAUCGGGUAUGUGAUAGAAGUAAGACUGAAUGAUCUCUUUCACUGGUGGAUCAUUCAAGUCAAGGUAAAAUUUGCGAGUUCAAGCGCGAAUUUUCGGCGAAUGUCGUCUUCACAGUAUAACCAGAUUGCUUGGGGUUAUAUGGUCAAGUGAAGAANCGCAUACNGUGGAUGCCUUGGCAGUCAGAGGCGAUGAAGGACGUGCUUAA